GGCGGGCGGCGUGCUCGAAAAUGUUAAAGUUCUUAUUUCAUGGUAUAACUUUGGUAUGCUUGGACCUAGAGUCUUCAAACUUGACAUGAAGGUUGGCCAGGAUUAACAGAUGACCACUGGUCAUUUCAAGGUCAUUCAUUUGAAGGUCAAGGUCACUGUGACCUUCAAUAUAAAAAAUGUUAAAGUUGUUAUAACUUUGGUAUGCUUGGACCUAGAGUCUUGAAACUUGACAAGAAGGUUGGCCAUAACUAGUUAGUAACCACUGGUCAUUUCAAGGUCAUUCAUUUGAAGGUCAAGGUCACUGUGACCUUGAAUGUAAAAAUGUUAAAGUUCUUAUUUCAUGGUAUAACUUUGGUAUGCUUGGACCUAGAGUCUUCAAACUUGACAUGAAGGUUGGCCAGGAUUAACAGAUGACCACUGGUCAUUUCAAGGUCAUUCAUUUGAAGGUCAAGGUCACUGUGACCUUGAAUGUAAAAAUGUUAAAGUUCUUAUUUCAUGGUAUAACUUUGGUAUGCUUGGACCUAGAGUCUUCAAACUUGACAUGAAGGUUGGCCAUGAUUAACAGAUGACCACUGGUCAUUUCAAGGUCAUUCAUUUGCAGGUCAAGGUCACUGUGACCUUCAAUAUAAAAAAUGUUAAAGUUGUUAUAACUUUGGUAUGCUUGGACCUAGAGUCUUGAAACUUGACAAGAAGGUUGGCCAUAACUAGUUAGUAACCACUGGUCAUUUCAAGGUCAUUCAUUUGAAGGUCAAGGUCACUGUGACCUUGAAUGUAAAAAUGUUAAAGUUCUUAUUUCAUGGUAUAACUUUGGUAUGCUUGGACCUAGAGUCUUCAAACUUGACAUGAAGGUUGGCCAGGAUUAACAGAUGACCACUGGUCAUUUCAAGGUCAUUCAUUUGAAGGUGAAGGUCACUGUGACCUUCAAUAUAAAAAUGUUAAAGUUGUUAUAACUUUGGUAUGCUUGGACCUAGAGUCUUGAAACUUGACAUGAAGGUUGGCCAGAACUAGUAAGUAACCACUGGACAUUUCAAGGUCAUUCAUUUGAAGGUCAAGGUCACUGUGACCUUGAAUGUAAAAAUGUUAAAGUUGUUAUAACUUUGGUAUGCUUGGACCUAGAGUCUUGAAACUUGACAUGAAGGUUGGCCAGAACUAGUAAGUAACCACUGGACAUUUCAAGGUCAUUCAUUUGAAGGUCAAGGUCACUUACAUUUGAUAAUGAAAUUGAUGGAAACUUCAAACAAUAUGUUACUAAUUUGCUAAUAAAAAAAUUGAGAUCAAACUUUCCUAAUUGUCAAUUCAAGUUCAUAUUUGUGACCUUAAAUGUUAUUGUUGUUCAUGUAUAUGCAUGCAUUCAAAACAUAACACAAGGUUUGCUCAUGCCUUGAAAAGUACUUACAUUUCAUUUUGACCUUUGAACAAUAUUUCAGUAAUUUAAGUAUUGCAUUGACAAAAACACGAAAGGUACUUUCCUGUCAUUUAAAUCAAAAAUCCGGCUUCAAUGCGGUCAUCUCCGACCGCGGAACUCUUGUUUAAAUUAUGCUGGUAUAUUCAGCAUUCCAAAUAGAUAUGCAUUAUUAAUAUUAUCAUCUUAUAGUCACAUAUCUUAAUUUAUAUUUUCUACAAUUUUUGAGUUUUUAGCUCACCUGAUUGCUCAGGUGAGCUUUUGUGACCAUUCUUUGUCUGUCGUAUGUCCGUCCGUCCGUAAACAUUUGCUCAUAAACACUCUAGAGGCCACAUUUCUUGUCCCAUCUUCAUGAAACUUGGUCAGAAGCUUUGUCCCAAUGAAAUCUUGGUCGAGUUCAAAACUGGGUUGUGCCGGGUCAAAAACUAGGUCACUAGGUCAAAAAAAGAAAAUCCUUGUAAACACUGUAGAAAUCACAUUUCAUGCCCGAUCUUCAUGUACUUUGUCAAAAUGUUUGUCUUAAUGAUAUCUUGGUUAAGUUCAAAAGUGGUUCUGAUCCGUUGAAAAACAUGGCCGCCAGUGGGCGGGGCAGUUUUCCUUAUUUGGCUAUAGAGAAACCUUGUAAACACUCUAGAAGUAAAAAUGUUUGUCCAAUCAUCAUGAAAGUUGGUCAAAACAUUGGUUUUAUUGAUAUCUUGGACGAGUUUGAAAAUAGUCGGCAUCAGUGAAAAAACAUGGCCGCCAGUGGGCAGGGCAUUUUUCUCUUUAUGUAUAUAGUGAAAACAUGUGAACACAGAAGUCACAUUUUUGGCCCAAUUUUCAUGAAAUUUGCUCAGAACAUUUGUUUCCUUGAUACGAGAGUUGAGUUCAAAAAUGGUUCCGGUCAGAUGAAUAACAUGGCUGCUGGGAGGGGGGCAGUUUUCUCAUUAUGCCCCCCCCCCCUUUUGAAGAAGAGGGGGUAUAUUGUUUAGCUCAUGUCGGUCCAUCCGUCCACCAGAUGGUUUCUGGAUGAUAACUCAAGAGCGCUUAUGCCAAGGAUCAUGAAACUCCAUAGGUACAUUGAUCAUGACUCGCAGAUGCCCCCCAUUGAUUUUCAGGUCACAAGGUCAAAGGUCAAGGUCACGAUGACCCGAAAUAGUAAAAUGGUUUCCGGAUGAUAACUCAAGAACACUUAUGCCUAUGAUCAUGAAACUUCAUAGAUACAUUGAUCAUGACUUGCAGAUAUCCACUAUUGAUUUUCAGGUCACUAGGUCAUAGGUCAAGGUCACGGUGACCCAAAGCAGUAAAAUGGUUUCUGGAUGAUUACUCAAGAACGCUUAUGCCUAGGUUCAUAAAACUUCAUAGAUACAUUGAUCAUGACUCGCAGAUAACCCAUAUUGAUUUUCAGGUCACUAGGUCAAAGGUCAAGGUCACGAUGACCCGAAAUAGUAAAAUGGUUUCCGGAUGAUAACUCAAGAACGCUUAGGCCUAGGAUAAUGCAACUUCAUAGGUACAUUGAUCAUAACUCGUAGAUGACCCUAUUGAUUUUCAGGUCAAAGAUCUAGGUCACGAUCACCCGAAAGAGUAAAAUGAUUUCCGGAUGAUAACUCAAGAACGCUUAGGCCUAGGAUCAUGAAACUUCAUAGGUACAUUGAUCAUGACUGGUAGAUGACCCCUAUUGAUUUUCAGGUCACUAGGUCCAAGGUCAGGGUGACCUGAAAUAGUAAAAUGGUUUUCAGAUGAUAACUCAAGAACGCUUAUGCCUAGUAUCAUGAAACUGCAAAGGUACAACGAUCAUGACUCGCAGAUGACCCCUAUUGAUUUUCAGGUCACUAGGUCAAAGGUUAAGGUCACGGUGACCUGAAAUAGUAAAAUGGUUUUUGGAUGAUAACUCAAGAACGCUUAUGCCUAGGUUCAUGAAACUUGAUAGGUAUAUUGAUCAUGACUCGCAGAUGACCCCUAUUGAUUAUCAGGUCACUAGGUCAAAGAUCAAGGUCACAGUGCCAAAAAACGUAGUCACACAAUGGCUGUCAAGGUCACAGUGACUCAACUUAGAAAAAUGGUUUUCGGAUGAUAACUCAAGAAUGCUUACGCCUAGGAUCAUGAAACUUCAUAGGUACAUUGAUCAUGACUCGCAGAUGAAAUAAUGAUGAAACUUGACCAGGAUGUUUGUCUGAACAAUAUCUAGGUCAAGUUUGACAUUUGGUAAAGAUUGAAUGAACAGACUCCUCUCAGGUGAGCUAACUAGGGCCAUCUUGGCCCUCUUGUCUACAAUUUGUGAGUUUUGUUCGUACAUGAAAUCUUUCUGAUCCGUUUAAUGAUUUAUUAUUUACAAUAAAUUCAUAUUCCAUUUA